CUUCACAUGGAGGAGCUGCAGAUAGAUAUGUGUUUCUGUGUAUGUGUAUGUCUGCCUUUUUUUCUAAGUGGGGGCUUGGUGAGUUCCCUGUUCCUGGAGGAGACCCACCAGACUGGGAACCUGUAUUGUCCUCCACAACCUGCAGGGAGGCAGUGGAGGGAGGAUGCUAAAGGCUGUUUUUUUUAAAGGUCAUUGAAUUCAAUAUCCUCUUCCUCCUCAGAUUCCUUCCACGGAUUCUGAAUUUCCCGAGAAAGGGGAGGGAGGAAGUGUGAGGGCGAUAGCGUGCUGUGUCCUGACUUCAGAAUGCUCUUGGGAGAGAUGGAGGGGAGACAAGAGGGGCUCACACACAGGAUGCAGGGCAAAGAAGCACGUGGCCGCAACCAAAGGAACGUGUUGCCUGGAGGGUCAGGCCAUGUGAGAGAGGGUAAGGCCCGGCCAGGACCAGGAGCAGUGUGUCACGGCAGGGGCUGAAAGGGACAUGAGCCAGGCAGCAGCUGUGUGACCCCUCCAGGGGUAGAAGGGAAGCUCCCCACCUCCUCACCCCACCUCCAGGUGU
rnacentral:lncRNA from 1 species